rnacentral:rRNA from 1 species
GACGAACGCUGGCGGCGUGCCUAAUACAUGCAAGUAGAACGCUGAAGAGAGGAGCUUGCUCUUCUUGGAUGAGUUGCGAACGGGUGAGUAACGCGUAGGUAACCUGCCUUGUAGCGGGGGAUAACUAUUGGAAACGAUAGCUAAUACCGCAAACAAUGGAUGACACAUGUCAUUUAUUUGAAAGGGGCAAUUGCUCCACUACAAGAUGGACCUGCGUUGUAUUAGCUAGUAGGUGAGGUAAUGGCUCACCUAGGCGACGAUACAUAGCCGACCUGAGAGGGUGAUCGGCCACACUGGGACUGAGACACGGCCCAGACUCCUACGGGGGGCAGCAGUAGGGAAUCUUCGGCAAUGGGGGCAACCCUGACCGAGCAACGCCGCGUGAGUGAAGAAGGUUUUCGGAUCGGAAAGCUCUGUUGUAAGUCAAGAACGGGUGUGAGAGUGGAAAGUUCACACUGUGACGGUAGCUUACCAGAAAGGGACGGCUAACUACGUG